rnacentral:misc_RNA from 1 species
GGAUGAAACUUUCUUUGAUUUGAGCCUUGACAUUGAGCAAAAUAGUUCAAUUACGAGCUGCCUCAAAAACUUCAGUUCAACAGAGACUCUGAAUGCUGAGGACAAGUUCUUCUGCGAUAAAUGUUGCAGUUUGCAGGAAGCUCAGAAGAGGAUGAAGAUUAAAAAGCCCCCUCACAUCCUAGUCAUCCAUUUGAAGCGUUUUAAGUACAUUGAACAGCUUGGUC